AAGAGUACUUGGCAUUCGAUCACAGAAGCCGUUGACAGCAGCAUAAAUCACAAGAAUUUGUUUUUCAAUUGGAAGUGGUUCAUAUUGUGGUUGUUUGGGCACUUCUGUAAGCCUUGCACCUCUAUUGAGUAAUGCCUGAGUAGUGACUCACAAGGUAAGUUCUCCUCGAUGCAUUUCCAACACUCUCUUUUUCUACGUACACUUUUGAUUCCUCAGUAGGUAGGGACAACGUUCGAGAUCUCAUCCGACCGUCUAUUUCUCACUGAUUGGGAGAUUGGAGUGAGACAGAGGAGAGUGGAAUUUCUUGUGUAGGGGUGAAAUCCGUAGAUCUACGAAGGAACGCCAAAAGCGAAGGCAGCUCUCUGGGUCCCUACCGAUGCUGGGGUGCGAAAGCAUGGGGAGCGAACAGGAUUAGGUACGCUGGUAGUCCAUGCCGUAAACGAGAAAGCAAUCCGCAUAGCCGGAGUCCAGUUGGAUAGUUCAAGCUACGAAAGAAGACAUGAUGCCAUUUCUC
rnacentral:rRNA from 2 species